AGCAGCCGCGGUAAUUCCAGCUCCAAUAGCGUAUAUUAAAGUUGUUGCAGUUAAAAGCUCGUAGUUGAAUUUCGGGGUCAGUAGAUUGGUCAUGCCUCCGGUAUGUACUGGUCUUACUGGCUCCUCCUUCCUGAUGAACCGUAAUGCCAUUAAUUUGGUGUUGCGGGGAGACUGGACUGUUACUUUGAAAAAUUAGAGUGUUUAAAGCAGGCUAACGCUUGAAUACAUUAGCAUGGAAUAAUGAAAUAGGACGUUCGAUCUUAUUUUGUUGGUUUCUAAGAUUGACGUAAUGAUUAAUAGGGAUAGUUGGGGGCAUUAGUAUUCAAUUGUCAGAGGUGAAAUUCUUGGAUUUAUUGAAGACUAACUACUGCGAAAGCAUUUGCCAAGGAUGUUUUCAUUAAUCAAGAACGAAAGUUAGGGAGUCGAAGACGAUCAGAUACCGUCGUAGUCUUAACCAUAAACUAUGCCGACUAGGGAUCGGAUGAUGUUUAAUUUUUUAAUGACUCAUUCGGCGCCUUAA
rnacentral:misc_RNA from 1 species